rnacentral:rRNA from 1 species
ACGGAGAAGGCUAUGUUGGCCGGGCGACGGUUGUCCCGGUUUAAGCGUGUAGGUGUGUGUUCCAGGUAAAUCCGGUUCACUUUAACACUGAGGCGUGACGACGAGGCACUACGGUGCUGAAGCAACAAAUGCCCUGCUUCCAGGAAAAGCCUCUAAGCAUCAGGUAACAUCAAAUCGUACCCCAAACCGACACAGGUGGUCAGGUAG